AUCAAGCGCCUUAAGGGUGUUCGGUGGAUGCCUUGGCGCUGAGAGGCGAUGAAGGACGUGCUACGCUGCGAUAAGCCGUGGGGAGCUGCGAAGAAGCUUUGAUCCACGGAUUUCCGAAUGGGGAAACCCGG
rnacentral:rRNA from 1 species